AAAACUCCCUUCCCCUUAAGCGGAUUUGAAGUGAAAGGCGAUUAUGCAGAAAGAAUCCUAAUCCAUGAACGAAACCAAAGGCUAGGAAAAAAGUGAUUAUGCAAGCACCAAACACCAAUCUGGAAAACGUUUAUGCAACGAACCUAGGUCAAUUCUACGACGACAUUUCGACGCUCUCACGUCCUUGCAAUUGAUCCACAUCGUAGAUUGCCUCCGGUCUCUAACGCGCCGCGUUCGGAAUCGUCGUGUUCAUCCUUCAGCUUAUGGUUCGUAUCGUUCCAUCAUCAUCAAUUCGAAGAUUCAAGCCCUAAUUCCACUCUCUUUGCGAUAAAUUGCUUUGGCCAUGUAGAUACGACUAGCAUUUUUAGGCUACCGAGAAACCAGACAAGGGUUUGGUUAAGAGCAUUUGACACAGCUGAAGCUACUGCAAUUGUACAGCAGCACAUACUAAGAGGUUAAUGUGCCCACUUGAUUUUUCCUGAUUUAAAGCAUUUGAUUCGCACGAUGUCGUCGAAUGGAACAACUGCCUCACUUGUUGAAGCAAAACUUCAAGCAUUAUCACAACCAGGCGUUCCCUCUGCUUCUUCUAAUUCUCAUAGAAAGCAUGGCGAUUCACUAGCUGGAUUGAAAAUGGAAUUGAAACCAUGAAGGAGUUGAAGGUUUGGUAUUUAGAAUGACAGCGACUUGAAGAUCGAUGAAAAAUGCAGGUGGUGAGUUUUGAAUCUUGCGAAUAAGUUGCUCCAAGGUAAACGGAAAGUGUUUAGAUUGUGGACUAAAUGGAUUGGUGGUUGAAACUCUUUUAAACUCAAUGUUGGUUGGGGUUAGUAAUGAUUAGUUUUCCAUGCGUUUGACGACUUCGUUUGAAUGGCUUUGCAGGCAAUAGUUAAUGGGACCUAGAUAUGGUCCGGUACACUCGUACCAGAUGGGUCAAUUUUGGAUAAUCCUUUCGUUUCCAUUAUUAGCAUCAAACAAGAGCGGAAAACGUCAAUGAAACGAAUGCCCAUAUCUAUUUAUCCAUGCUGCGUGCAGACUUCUGUUUAGGCUUGAAUUGACGCAGGGUCUCUGAAGUGUAACACAUGGUGCAAAAUUCACUUGCAGCUCUCACUCAAAUUGGUCUGCUAGCAUUGCGGUUGGCGUUUUGUUAUGGAGCUUAUGAUGGCAGAAUUUUGACAAUUGAAUACCAUGAUUUAAUUCUGAAGGCUGAUGUAUUUUCGAUGUUAAUGUUAGUUUGGAUGAACUGUUGUAUUAUUAUGGUAAAGUGUCGUCUUCACUUGCUGCAAGUUAUGUGUUAGUUUUGGAAUUGCAGUUCGAAUGAAAGGUACAUGAUGCUUUCACAAAGUGCCGCUAUGUGGAGCUGUAAGCGGUAUAGUGUCAAAGGAAGCGUUAGAAGCAAAAUGCAAGGCUAGUGAAGGUUAACUUCUGUUAGGAGUUAGUUUAGAAAUCAUGUUAGUGAUUUGUUAGCUGUUAGGAGAAUCUAUUGCCCUGUUACAGAUUGUUAUGGAAUUCACUUUGUAAAACAAAAUUAACUAAAUUCUCCCAUGGCUUAUGUUAUAGAAUUAUGCAGGCUGGAUGGGAACGAACCGUGCCGGCCAAGCUGCAGAUUGUCGUGUUUACCUGCUGCAGGAUUGCGUAAAGGUAUAGUGCAGAUACCCUUCACCGAACAUCCAUUUAAACCAGGAACCAAGUUCAAUUCAACAGCCGCCGCUCUCAUGGGGCAUGCUUCCGCGAGCUCAGGUAUUACACCAUAAAUUGUUCUCUUCACAUCGAUUGUAAAUUCGAACAAAUAUUUUCACGAUAGAGCUGGAUCUUGUUGCAGGUUUGACAUGGCGAGGUUAGUCGUGAUUGAUAUUGAAGGAUUAUGAAUACUGACUUGUUAAUUGUUAGUGAAUUUAGAUGUCAAUCUAUUAAUUUGUAGCAUGAUAGUGUAUGUAGAUGGCAAGCUAUAUUGGACUGCUAGUCGUUGGAAUUCUAUUAUGAGUGUCGGCACCGUUACUUUGUGGGUGAAUACCGGUUAGAAAAACUUACUGUUAGUUGAUUAGGUCCUUGAAAUGCUACCUCUAAGUGCCGGUUUGAUGGGUUGCUUACAGGCUUUUUAUGUGAAGCUAGAGUGGAAACCAUGGUUGUUGUGCGUAAUUGUUUUCAUUUCAAAUUCAUUAAUUUGCUUUUUGUUGUUUCAAUGCGAAAUUGAAAAGCCAGUUGAACACUUAUGUUAUUAUCUGAACUAAAUUGGCAUUCUGUUUGUAUAGGUUCUGCUAGGAACCGUCAGUUUGGCUUUAAUUUCCUGAUGUUCAAAUCUUGAAACUGAUUAAUGCUACUGCUAUUUCGGUUGGCUACUGACAUGGAUUCAACCUGUUAUGGGCUAUUCCAACAGAUUAGUAUGUUAGGUUUAAACAUUGUCCAAGUUGGAUAUGGAUGCGGCAUUGGAUCCCGAGGGCUGCCAAAGCUCUCCGCUUUUGAAAUGUCGUAGGGUAUAAUGUAUUAGUGAAGUGGUGAUGUAAUUCUUGUGACUAAACCCUCCUUAUGACAAAGCAACAUGUAAUUGAUUUUUAAAAAGAAUGGUACAUCCAAGUUUAAUACAAUUCCAAUUGUUUUAUUAUGCA